AAAGGUUAUUGGCCUUUUUGGCUGAGAUCAAGGGUAGUAUCUGUUCUUAUCACUUUAAUAUUUGACAUGUUCUCUAUCUGAGGACAAUAUAUUAAAUGAAUUUUUGAAAUAGGGAGAUGGAAUAGGAGCUAGCUUCACAAGGUACCUAGUGGCUUAGUGGAUAGAAUGCUGAGCCUGGAAUCAGGAAGAGCUGAGUUCAA